UGGGGAAUAUUGCACAAUGGGCGCAAGCCUGAUGCAGCCAUGCCGCGUGUAUGAAGAAGGCCUUCGGGUUGUAAAGUACUUUCAGCGGGGAGGAAGGCGAUAAGGUUAAUAACCUUGUCGAUUGACGUUACCCGCAGAAGAAGCACCGGCUAACUCCGUGCCAGCAGCCGCGGUAAUACGGAGGGUGCAAGCGUUAAUCGGAAUUACUGGGCGUAAAGCGCACGCAGGCGGUCUGUCAAGUCGGAUGUGAAAUCCCCGGGCUCAACCUGGGAACUGCAUUCGGAACUGGCAGGCUAGAGUCUUGUAGAGGGGGGUAGAAUUCCAGGUGUAGCGGUGAAAUGCGAAGAGAUCUGGAGGAAUACCGGUGGCGAAGGCGGCCCCCUGGACAAAGACUGACGCUCAGGUGCGAAAGCGUGGGGAGCAAACA
rnacentral:rRNA from 1 species